GGAUGUAAGGAUGAUGUGGGUGUGACAUCUGUCACCCCCUUGAUCUCCAGGGUUGAUUCAGCUGAUCUGGCUGGCUAGGUGGGUCCCCUUCCUCCCUCAGUGAUCCACGUGCUUCCCCACCAAAGCUGCACGCUCAGUCCAAGAGGAUGACCACCCCCGAUAGGGGAGCACCAUUCCUCAGUCAAGGGUACAUGAGUAGCUGCGCUCCCCUGCUGGAACCUUCAAACAAGCUCACAAAAUGAAAAAUUGUAUACUGGGAUAUAUGAGUUUUCGCUGUUUUUAAAAUUCUCACAUUUUAUUUUUAUUAGUAAAUAAAAAUGAGAUGAAAUGCUACAUGAUAAAAUUAUGUAUAUAU
rnacentral:snRNA from 1 species